rnacentral:rRNA from 1 species
AUUGAACGCUGGCGGCAUGCCUUACACAUGCAAGUCGAACGGUAACGGGCCUUCGGGUGCCGACGAGUGGCGAACGGGUGAGUAAUGUAUCGGAACGUACCUUUCAGUGGGGGAUAACGUAGCGAAAGUUACGCUAAUACCGCAUAUUCUGUGAGCAGGAAAGCAGGGGAUCGCAAGACCUUGCGCUGAUUGAGCGGCCGAUAUCAGAUUAGCUAGUUGGUGAGGCAAAAGCUCACCAAGGCGACGAUCUGUAGCGGGUCUGAGAGGAUGAUACGCCACACUGGAACUGGGACACGGUCCAGACUCCUACGGGAGGAAGCAGUGGGGAAUUUUGGACAAUGGGGGCAACCCUGAUCCAGCCAUGCCGCGUGAGUGAAGAAGGCCUUCGGGUUGUAAAGCUCUUUCGGCCGGGAAGAAAUCGUAUCAGCUAAUACCUGGUGCGGAUGACGGUACCGGCAUAAGAAGCACCGGCUAACUACGUGCCAGCAGCCGCCGUAAGAC